rnacentral:lncRNA from 10 species
AGAUGGGGUCUUGCUGUGUUGCCCAGACUGGUCUCAAACUCCUGAGCUCAAGUGAUCCACCCACCGUGGCCUCCCAAAGUGCUGAGAUUAAAGAGAGUGUGCCAACAGCUUAGAUAUAGAGUGUGAGAGAGAAGAGUGGAGGCUGGUUCUCAGGCUCCAGAAGCAUAAGCCUGCAUGGAGCAUAGCGUCACUGAGCAAGACAGGUGUGGAGGAUGAGAAGCGGGCCACAGGAUGGGAAGGGAAUCUGUGUGGAGGCGGUGCCCUAAACAUGCUGCCUUGAGGAGGGACCUCUACAUGGGGUGGCCGGGCACAGCCAGGUGCUACCCAUGGGGACCUCAACAGCUUUGCCAUUGCACACUAUCUUUGCAGACAAGAUCUUAAUCACAUCCAACUUUCUGCAGUUGCACAGGGUACCUCAGACCCACAUCCCAGAUGACAUUCCUCAGAAGCUCGCAGCUGGAGAUGACAUCACCUUAGACAACAUCACCCUAGCCCAAGACAUCGCUAUUAGAGAUACAUCACCUGGACACUAAAGCCUCCAACCCAGUGACACUCUCAAGGUGCUGACAAAAUGGACAUGGACAUUUGUUGCUUUUCUUCUUUUGAAUUAGGAACUCUAUUGUGUUUCCUGAAUUUACUGUCUGCUUGGCCCAUGAUCCUGGUAUGUUCCUUGCUCUCUGCCAAAACAUGCACCGUCCCCUCCACACCUAAAGGAAAACCUGGUAGAAGCUACUACUCUCAAUGCCAUUCUAAAAUUGACGAAGAGUAUUAUUUUCCCCAAGAGGCAGCUGCUGCAGGCCAGUGAAUCCUCUGGACCCUGGGGAGAGGGUCAUACACUCCCUAGUGACUUCUACUGUAUGCUCCAGCUUUCCACCAGGACCUCCUGCCCUGUCCCCAACUGUAACGACCACAACCACCCCAUCCCCUUGGUUACACACAAAUAUCACCAGUCUUUACAUGUACUUUACUGACUUCUCAGAUAAUACCCUCCAACAAGAUAACUGCAGGACUUGCCACCAUGACCUGAGAAAUACACCAAGAUAUUAUUGUCCAAUUUUUUUGAGAUAUAUAUAUAUUUCUCAUACUUUUAACAUACUCUGCAAUCCACCAAGAUAUUGGUAGAGACCCUGGAAAUUUCAAAUCUAUUUCGUCUGCUAAUGCCAUGUGAAUGGGAAACUUAGAUACAGGCUGGCCUACAAGCAACAUAUUUCUGAGUAUACUUUAGAUUUCCACUAUCAGUGCAUUUUCUGAAACUUCCCCAGUCUUAGCACUGAAGGUCCUGCACCCCAGGAAAUAUCUAUCAGUCUUUGUCAAACCAGGAUGGUUGGUCACCCUACUUUUAGACCUCCUCAUUUUCAUGAACUCAAUAUUGCAUAAGGUUGAUCUUCCAAAAACAUGUAUCUGCCUUAAAAUUGUGAUUUCCAUCCUGAUGAGGUCUCCUCAUAUUCCUUUGUCUUUCUGGUUUGUAUAGGAUCCACUUGACUUCAGAGCUGUAGAAAUCCAAUAAUAUGGCAGUGAUGAUGCAUUCUUUUAUUGGCCCACAGUUAUUAUUUUAAUCCAAGAUACAGCUGAACACCAUAUCUUAGAUCUAAACUCUCAUACAAUAAGCCUUAAAAUGUAACUAAUAUAAAUCUGGGAGUUCAUAUGACCCUGCCUUGGUGGGAGUGACAUAUUCAAAAAACCAACAAUUUGACAAAAAAUAUAACCUAAAAACAAUUCAAGUUGUAUUUGGACUGUGAACACCAAUACGGUAUUAGUGUUAAUACAUACAUGCUUGUUACCUUAUUACAAUAGCAUAAAAUAUCACAAAGUAGAAAGAGUUCUGGGUAGACAGGAGUCCUGCUGAGUAGCUCUGUGCCCUGGGUGGGGGUUAUGAGGAAGGGUUCCCAGGUCUGCUUCCUCCACCCUGAGGUCACCAUUAAAGUUGGAAGAUGACUUAAAAAUCAGACAGCAUCAAUCCCCUUCAAUAGUUUUCUAUGGUGUAUGUGUUCAUUAAAUUCUGGGUCAUUGAACGGUCAUGGAUAACCUUAAUCUCUCUUAGCCUCAAUGUCUACUAACAUAGUUCAUAUUCUGUUAAAGUUAUGAGCAUUCGUAUUCUAAGAUUUGUAUUGAAUAUAGAUGAUAGAUUAAAAUUUUAGUGACAAAUCUU